rnacentral:rRNA from 1 species
GACGAACCGAGCGAACGUUGUUCGGAAUCACUGGGCUUAAAGGGCGCGUAGGCGGGUGCUCAAGUCCGGGGGUGAAAUCCCACAGCUCAACUGUGGAACUGCCUCGGAUACUGGGCGUCUCGAGGGUGGCAGGGGGUAUGCGGAACUAUCGGUGGAGCGGUGAAAUGCGUUGAUAUCGAUAGGAACUCCGGUGGCGAAGGCGGCAUACUGGUCCACUUCUGACGCUGAGGCGCGAAAGCCAGGGGGAGCAAAACGGGG